GUUUGAUCCUGGCUCAGGAUGAACGCUGGCUGUGUGCCUAAUACAUGCAUGUCGAACGAAGUACUUGUACUUAGUGGCAAAUGGGUGAGUAACACGUACCUAACUUGCCUUUUAGAUUGGGACAACCACGGGAAACUGUGGCUAAUACCAAAUAUGUAUAAUUAACAUAUGUUUUUUAUAUGAAAGGAAGCGAUUGCUUUGCUAAAAGAUAGGGGUGCGCUACAUUAGCUUGCUGGUAGGGUAAAAGCCUACCAAGGCUAUGAUGUAUAGUGGGAUCGAGAGGUUGAACCACCACACUGGGAUUGAGAUACGGCCCAGACUCCUACGGGAGGCAGCAGUAGGGAAUAUUCCACAAUGAGCGAAAGCUUGAUGGAGCGACACAGCGUGUAGGAUGAAUGCCUUAGGGUUGUAAACUACUGUUAUAAGAGAAGAAUAGCUAAAAAAGGAAAUGUUUUUAGUCUGACGGUAUCUUAUCAGAAAGCAGUUGCAAACUAUGUGCCAGCAGCAGCGGUAAUACAUAGACUGCAAGCGUUAUCCGGAAUUAUUGGGCGUAAAGCAUUCGUAGGUUGUUUAUUAAGUUUGGUGUUAAAAACAAAAGCUCAACUUUUGUUUGCAUUAAAUACUAAUAGACUAGAGUUAUAAAGAGGUUAAUGGAACUCCAUAUGAAGCGGUGGAAUGCGUAGAUAUGUGGAAGAACACCAAUGGCGAAGGCAAUUAACUGGAUAUACACUGACACUGAGGGAUGAAAGCGUGGGGAGCAAACAGGAUUAGAUACCCUGGUAGUCCACGCUGUAAACGAUGUUUGUUAAUCGGUGGUGAAAUCACUGACACAGCUAACGCAAUAAACAAACCGCCUGAGUAGUAUGCUCGCAAGAGUGAAACUUAAAGGAAUUGACGGGGAGCCGCACAAGCGGUGGAGCAUGUGGUUUAAUUCGAAGAUACGCGAAGCACCUUACCAACAUUUGACAUCUUUUGCAAAGGCAUAGAGAUAUGCUGGAGGAUAACAAAAAGACAGGUGGUGCAUGGCCGUCGUCAGCUCGUGCCGUGAGGUGUUGGGUUAAGUCCUAUAACGAGCGCAACCCUUUUCUUUAGUUACUAACAUUUAGUUGAGCACUCUAAAGAUACUGCCUAGGUAACUAGGAGGAAGGAGGGGAUGAGGUAGGUCAUCAUGCCUCUUACAUGUUGGGUUACACACGUGCUACAAUGGCAAAUACAAAGAGAAGCAAAAUCGUGAGGUGGAGCAAAUCUGUAAAAUUUGUCUCAGUUCGGAUUGGAGUCUGCAACUCGACUCCAUGAAGUGGGAAUCGCUAGUAAUCCUAGAUCAUCAAUGCUAGGGUGAAUACGUUCUCGGCUCUUGUACACACCGCCCGUCAAACCAUGGGAGUUGGUAAUACCCAAAGCUAGUUAGUUAACCAUUUAUUUGGAGGCAACUAUCUAAGGUAGGAUCAAUGACUGGGGUUAAGUCGUAACAAGGUAACC
rnacentral:rRNA from 1 species